AUAGCGUGCUCAGAGCUGCAGGGGAGGCCUGCUGUCUGACUGGCAGAGAGAGUCCCACCACUCCCUACCCUGUGCCCUGGAAGACCAGGCUGCCCAGCCUGUCUACCUGGUAGACCUUUUCCUUACCCACUUCUUUUCCCAUUCCUGUUGUGCACCUUGAUGCCUGCAGGGACUGCCCUAGCUGAGAUAGUCUCUAGGUCCUCCCUUCUGCCAGCUGGUGUCCAGGGAGGUGGGUCCUGUGGCCUCUUUUCUGCCAGCCAGAAUUUCGAGGGCCUUGCUUCUCCCACUGCAGCUUUUGACGAAGUGCUGGGUCGUAGAGUGGCAUUUCUUAACCUCAGCCAUAUGGAGAUUUGGAGGGCAGAAUUCUUUGUUGUGGGGUGCUGUCCUGAGCAUUGCAGGGUGCUCAGCAUCCUACCCAGCCUCUAUCCACCAGAUGCCGUGGGCACUUCCUCAUGUUUACAAUGAACAAAGUCUCCAGACAAAGCUACAUGUCCCCUGAGGGGCAAAAUCACCUUCACCUGAAGACUGGUGGUGUGCUGGGUGGAUACUACCAUUAAAAAAAAAAAAGAAUAAAAAAAUUAUAAUGUAACUCAUGCAGUGAAGGUAAGUCCUUUUGGAUGGAACAUUUAUUUAAGUCAAUAAGUAUUAUUAAUAUUUAUUAAUAAUGUGAGUUUAAGUGUAUGUAUUUUUUUUUUUACCUUUUAUUUUGAUCUAGUGUCAGAGUUUAAGAAAUUUGUAGAAAGAAUAGAAAUGACUCUGAUUAUACCCCAGAUACUAACAUUUCCACAUGGGCUUUCUGCCCCGCAGAGUCUCCUCUGCCCCUCCUUCUCCUGCCCCAGCCUUUCUGUCUCUUUCUCUCCCCCAGCAAGCUCUCUAUGAGCAGAACACCAAUUAUAAGAAAAAUACCAUUUUCUUUUCUCUGAGGUGGCAUUCCUGACUUUUGGAUUCAGGCUGAUUGAAGAACGGAUUCUUUAUAUUUUGGAUUCCCUAGGUUUAUCCAAACAGUAUUUAAGAGAACUUCAAAAAAAUUUCCACGAAGUAGGAUACAUUUUAUUUUGUCUGUAUUCGUUUCUAAUAGAUUGGUUUUUAAAAUUUUGACAAUAUUUUAUGUAGAUUUUCUGUUAAUUUGCCUUGAGAAUCUAAGAACAUUGGCAGAAGAGACAAAAGGAAUUAUGAAAUCCAGUCCAGAGGUCCCAUUACAGGACCUUGGUCGAAUGGGACCCAGUGCAUUUUGAUUGUCUGGCACAGUGUUGUUUUAAAAAUUAGAACUAGUCCACAUUUGGCAGUUCCGACAGUACAUAUAAACCCAGAAGACCUGGCCCUACUGGGACUGAGUCUCUGUGUGAUGGCAACUCACUACAACCCCUCCCUUCAGAAGACUUCCAGCUUCUCUCAUCCCCGCCACUCCCAAUCCCGAUCCACAGGCCCACUCCCUCUGCCGGUGUGAGCCUCGUGGCCACUGUGGCCCCCGCUUUGGAGAGCCUGCUGGUCCAUCCUUCCUGCUUCGGCAGAGCUGUUCUCCUUGUUCUGAAGGGCCUGCGCCCCGUCUUCCUGGCUCCUCAGGGUCCUUGCAACAGCAGGCACUGCUUUCCUCUGCUGCACUCAACCUCUCUCCCACUCCACUGCCUUUCAGUGUGCAAAAACGCAACGAUGUGUCCCACAUUUUCGAAAUCUCUCCCUUGAAGUUCCCACCUGAUAUGCAGCAAAGUACAGUGGGAGAUGGGCAAAGCACAGUGUCCCUUGUUUUAGUCAUAGUGCCUGAAAUGUGGUAGGAUCUCAACUGUUGUUUCAAUAAAGAAAUGAGCAAAUA